rnacentral:rRNA from 1 species
AUUGAACGCUGGCGGCAGGCCUAACACAUGCAAGUCGAGCGAGCGGCGGAAGGGUUAGCAAUGUAUGGGGAUCUGCCCGAUGGAGGGGGUUAACUACUGGAAACUGAGACUACUAACGCAUACUAUAGGAUGAACCCAUAUGGGAUUAGCUAGUAGGUGGGGUAAAGGCUUACCUAGGCGACGAACCUUAGCUGGUCUGAGAGGAUGAACAGCCACACUGGAACUGAGACACGGUCCAGACUCCUACGGGAGGCAGCAGUGGGGAAUAUUGGACAAUGGGCGCAAGCCUGAUGCAGCCAUGCCGCGUGUGUGAAGAAGGCCUUCGGGUUGUAAAGCACUUUCAGCUAGGAGGCGUUACUCGCAGAAGAAGCACCGGCUAACUCCGUGCCAGCAGCCGCGGUAAUAC